rnacentral:rRNA from 1 species
UUUUCCGGUUGAUCCUGCCGGAGGCCAUUGCUAUCGGGGUCCGAUUUAGCCAUGCUAGUCGCACGGGUUUAGACCCGUGGCGAAUAGCUCAGUAACACGUGGCCAAGCUACCCUGUGGACCAGGACAACCUCGGGAAACUGAGGCUAAUCCUGGAUAAGGCUCGAUGUCUGGAAUGACUUGAGUCUCAAACGUUCCGGCGCCACAGGAUGCGGCUGCGGCCGAUUAGGUUGACGGUGGGGUAACGGCCCACCCUGCCAGUAAUCGGUACGGGUUGUGAGAGCAAGAGCCCGGAGACGGGAUCUGAGACAAGAUCCCGGGCCCUACGGGGCGCAGCAGGCGCGAAACCUUUACACUGCGCGAGAGCGCGAUAAGGGGACCCCGAGUGCGAGGGCAUAUAGCCCUCGCUUUUCUGCACCGUAAGGUGGUACAGGAAUAAGGGCCGGGCAAGAAUCGAAUUCCCG